rnacentral:rRNA from 1 species
UACGUAGGUGACGAGCGUUAUCCGGAUUUACUGGGCGUAAAGCGCUUGUAGGUGGUCUCGUAAGUUGGGCGUGAAAACACUGGGCUUAACUCAGUGACGCCGUCCAAUACUGCGAGGCUAGAGGAUGUCAGAGGAAGGUGGAAUUCCUGGUGUAGUGGUGAAAUGCGUAGAUAUCAGGAGGAACACCCGUGGCGAAGGCGGCCUUCUGGGGCAUUCCUGACAUUGAGAAGCGACAGCUAGGGGAGCAAACAGG